AUGAGCGAACUUGACCAGUUAUGGCAGGAAGCUGAGUAGCUCAAGAACCAAAUCAGGGAUGCUCGGAAACCAUGUGCAGAUGCAGCUCUCUCACAGAUCACAAACAACAUCAACCCAGUGGGAAGAAUCCAGAUGCGCACCAGGAGGACUUUGAGGGGGCACCUGGCCAAGAUCUAUGCCAUGCACUGGGGCACAGCCUCACAGCUCCUGGUUAGCGCUUCGCAGGAUGGAAAAUUAAUCAUCUGGGACAGCUAUACCACAAACAAGGUCCAUGCCAUCCCCCUGCGCUCCUCCUGGGUCAUGACCUGUGCUUAUGCCCCCUCUGGAAACUACGUAGCCUGUGGUGGCCUGGACAACAUUUGCUCUAUCUACAAUCUGAAGACUCACAAAGGGAACGUGCAUGUGAGCCGGGAGCUGGCGGGACACGCAGGCUACCUGUCCUGCUGCCGAUUCCUGGACCACAAUCAGAUCGUCACCAGCUUUAGAGACACCACAUGUGCACUGUGGGACAUUGAGACUGGCCAGCAGACAACCACGUUUACUAGACACACUGGGGACAUCAUGAGCCUGUCUCUGGCUCCCGACACCAGACUAUUUGUCUCCAGUGCUUGUGACGCCUCAGCCAAGCUCUGGGAUGUCUGAGAAGGCAUGUGCCGGCAGACCUUCACUGGCCAUGAGUCCGAUAUCAACGCCAUCUGUUUCUUUCCAAAUGGCAAUGCAUUUGCCACCGGCUCAGAUGACACUACUUGCAGGCUCUUUGACCUCCGUGAAGACCAGGAACUCAUGACCUAUUCCCACGACAACAUCAUAUGCGGGAUCACCUCUGUCUCUUUCUCCAAGAGCGGGCGCCUCCUCCUCACUGGUUAUGAUGACUUCAACUACAAUGUGUGGGAUGCCCUCAAAGCUGACAGGGCAGAUGUCUUGGCUGGACAUGACAACCGCGUCAGCUGCCUGGGGGUGACUGAUGAUGGCAUGGCUGUGGCAACAGGGUCCUGGGACAUCUUCCUCAAGAUCUGGAAUUAACAUCACCACAGGCGGACGCCACCAUGACAGGAAGACCAUUCCAACCUUGAAGCGCUAUGGAGAGCAU